rnacentral:ncRNA from 1 species
CGACCCCAGGUCAGGCGGGACUACCCGCUGAGUGUAAGCAUAUAAAUAAGCGGAGGAGAAGAAACUUACGAGGAUUCCCCUAGUAACGGCGAGCGAACCGGGAGAUGCCCAGCUUGAGAAUCGGGCGGCCGCGCCGUCCGAAUUGUAGUCUGGAGAGGCGUCCUCAGCGACGGACCGGGCCCAAGUCCCCUGGAAAGGGGCGCCUGGGAGGGUGAGAGCCCCGUCCGGCCCGGACCCUGUCGCCCCACGAGGCGCCGUCAACGAGUCGGGUUGUUUGGGAAUGCAGCCCAAAUCGGGCGGUAAACUCCGUCCAAGGCUAAAUACAGGCGAGAGACCGAUAGCGAACAAGUACCGCGAGGGAAAGAUGAAAAGGACUUUGAAAAGAGAGUCAAAGAGUGCUUGAAAUUGCCGGGAGGGAAGCGGAUGGGGGCCGGCGAUGCGCCCCGGCCGUAUGCGGAACGGCUUCGGCUGGUCCGCCGAUCGGCUCGGGGCGUGGACUGUUGUCGGCCGCGCCGGCGGCCAAAGCCCGGGGGCUCCGCGCCCCCGGCAGCCGUCGUCGGCGCAGCCGGUCACCGCGCGCCUCUGGCGCGCCCCUCGGGGCGCCGCGCUGCAACGGCCUGCGGGCUCCCCAUCCGACCCGUCUGAAAC